AUGGAUCCCCAGGCUAGAGGAGAACCGCCGGCCUCCGAAGGCUCGUCCAACUCGGCGCCGACGGCUAGGAAGAGGACUCCGGGGAGGUGGAGAAGGAUCCCACGCGCCCACCCCUUCACGCCGAGUGAAACGGCGGAAGAAGCGGAAUUGUCGAUGCUGAAAAACGCCGAGUUCAUAGAGAACAUGCGCGAGGAGGACUGCGAUCUGCUCACGGAGCAGGACGGGCUCGACUUCCACGCCUUCAAGAAGAAGAUGGUCCCAGCCAUGCGCCUCAUCGCCAAGUCCACGCUCCACAACACCUUCUUCAACCCCAUACAAUUCAGCGACACAAAGGAGGAGCACCUGACCGCCGAGGGCAUGGAGGCACAAAUACUAGCACGAUUUCCUGAUCGCAAGCCUUGCCAGCAAGCUAAAGACUUUGCUGAACUUGCUCUGGCGCACUACAAUGAGAAGAACAAAACGAGUGAGUUUGAGUUGGCCAUGACUCUGCUAUCGAAUUGCUUCUCUGAGUCGUGUGGGGACAUUUAUGGCCAUGUUAAUUUCACCGCCGUUCCUCAGAAGCAGUCUGCCAUAGUGCCUGCAUCAAAGACCAAGAGACUGUUCUUUGCUGAGCUUAUGCAUACUCCGAGCCUUGAAGCAUAUGCAAGGGCUCAGCCUAUGCGCGUGCUGCGUGUGUGCACCAUUGAUGAUGAUUCUUGUUAUGGUAUGUAUUUCAAUCCUCUUACUGUAUUUUUUUCUAUGGCCAAGCUGCUAAUUUUCUGA
rnacentral:rRNA from 1 species